AUUGAACGCUGGCGGCAUGCCUUACACAUGCAAGUCGAACGGUAACAGGUCUUCGGAUGCUGACGAGUGGCGAACGGGUGAGUAAUACAUCGGAACGUGCCUAGUAGUGGGGGAUAACUACUCGAAAGAGUGGCUAAUACCGCAUGAGAUCUACGGAUGAAAGCAGGGGAUCGCAAGACCUUGUGCUACUAGAGCGGCCGAUGGCAGAUUAGGUAGUUGGUGGGAUAGAAGCUUACCAAGCCGACGAUCUGUAGCUGGUCUGAGAGGACGAUCCGCCACACUGGGACUGAGACACGGCCCAGACUCCUACGGGAGGCAGCAGUGGGGAAUUUUGGACAAUGGGCGCAAGCCUGAUCCAGCAAUGCCGCGUGCAGGAUGAAGGCCUUCGGGUUGUAAACUGCUUUUGUACGGAACGAAAAGCCCUGGGUUAAUACCCUGGGGUCAUGACGGUACCGUAAGAAUAAGCACCGGCUAACUACGUGCCAGCCGCCGCCGUAA
rnacentral:rRNA from 1 species